UACGCAGGGGGCUAGCGUUGUUCGGAAUCACUGGGCGUAAAGGGCGCGUAGGCGGCUUUGUAAGUCGGGGGUGAAAGCCUGUGGCUCAACCACAGAAUUGCCUUCGAUACUGCAUGGCUUGAGACCGGAAGAGGUUAGUGGAACUGCGAGUGUAGAGGUGAAAUUCGUAGAUAUUCGCAAGAACACCAGUGGCGAAGGCGGCUGACUGGUCCGGUUCUGACGCUGAGGCGCGAAAGCGUGGGGAGCAAGCAGG
rnacentral:rRNA from 1 species